rnacentral:lncRNA from 1 species
AGAAGGAAGGAGUGGGGGAGGCGAACAGUCUCGUUGCUGCCUCUGUGUACGCUGAGGGGGGAGGUAAGUUAUAAAAUGGCGGAGGCGAAGGUUCUAGAAGUUUGGAGGGGCACCCGGAGGGCGCGGGGCCCACCGUGAGGUGUGUGUGGUUGAAAUAGGGCAAGAGAGCGGAGUUGGGAGGGAAAAGAGGCCGGGCACUCUGUUGCCAUUUAAUUUCCCUCUGGGCUUCCUUUGCUCCCAUGGGGGGCAGCUAUGGAGUGAACGGCUAAGUCCAGGCGGAGACAAUCUUCUUCGCCCCCGCGUCACCCUCAGCCCUCCUUUCUCCCCUAAGUCGGUACCCCAACACUUCCACGUAACUUCCAGCCUCCCCUUCCUCCCUACCUCCUAUUCCUAGAGUCGCUUUCUACCGCAGGACUCUUCUUUUCGACUACCCUCGCAGAAGAUUUUCUCUUCCUUCCCUCGCCCAACUCUCCCUCGGGGCCUCUACGGAGGGCCCCCCCACCCCCAAUGGGUGGCCCAAAAUGGAGAACGCGGAGCAGCGCAAGAUGGAGGCUCCGUUUCUCUGUGUAGUAUUAGAUUUAGGUUCCUUUUCUCCGACAGGCUCUUAAGCCGAGGAGAACCCAAACUGGAGGUGGGGUGGGGUGCGAGUCGUAGUCGGGGGAGGCAAGCCGGGCCGGCUGUGGCUGGGGUGGGGGAGAGCGCGGUAUCUUGGUGAGGGGAAGAGAGCAAAAUGGUGGUGCUGGGAACCUAGGGGGGAGGGGAGAAAGAGGCUCGGUUGUGUAUAUUUGGGCCUCGGACCUAGGGAGGCGAGGGAAAAUCUACUCUGAUCACACCCCUCCCUCGUGCCCCCUCCCUUCUCCCUUCCCCUCCUUCCUUUCCUCCCUCCCUCCCCUCCCUCCCUCUCUUCCUCCCUUCCUAGAGAGGGAACAACAUUCAUGUGACGGGCCCCUCUGCUUCUCCCCCGCCCCAUCAUCUCCAGCGCGUGGUGGGGGAACUGCUUGGGAAAGCGGUUGGCAUCGAUCUCUCCAUCCCUUCCGAGGCCCGAGUUCGUGUACUUACUGGGCACAGUAUCUUCCUCUUACUCUUUUAAAAGGUAAUAAUGAGGGGAAGGGAGUGGAUAGGAGGUAG